UACGGAGGGUGCGAGCGUUGUCCGGAAUCAUUGGGCGUAAAGAGCGUGUAGGCGGCUCGGUAAGUCCGCUGUGAAAGUCCAGGGCUCAACCCUGGAAUGCCGGUGGAAACUGUCGAGCUUGAGUACGGAAGAGGCGAGUGGAAUUCCUGGUGUAGCGGUGAAAUGCGCAGAUAUCAGGAGGAACACCAAUUGCGAAGGCAGCUCGCUGGGACGUUACUGACGCUGAGACGCGAAAGCGUGGGGAGCAAACAGG
rnacentral:rRNA from 1 species